rnacentral:rRNA from 1 species
AUUGAACGCUGGCGGCAUGCCUUACACAUGCAAGUCGAACGGUAACAGGUCUUCGGAUGCUGACGAGUGGCGAACGGGUGAGUAAUACAUCGGAACGUGCCCGAUCGUGGGGGAUAACGAGGCGAAAGCUUUGCUAAUACCGCAUACGAUCUACGGUUGAAAGCGGGGGUUCUUCGGACCUCGCGCGGACGGAUCGGCCGAUGGCAGAUUAGGUAGUUGGUGGGAUAAAAGCUUACCAAGCCGACGAUCUGUAGCUGUUCUGAGAGGAUGAUCAGCCACACUGGGACUGAGACACGGCCCAGACUCCUACGGGAGGCAGCAGUGGGGAAUUUUGGACAAUGGGCGAAAGCCUGAUCCAGCCAUGCCGCGUGCAGGAUGAAGGCCUUUGGGUUGUAAACUGCUUUUGUACGGAACGAAAAGCCUCUUUCUAAUAAAGAGGGGUCAUGACGGUACCGUAAGAAUAAGCACCGGCUAACUACGUG